GCGUUCCUGCUUGGUUUGUGUGCGGCUUCCAUAAAUUGAUCCAACAGUCAAUGUCAUGGGAUCUAGCUCGUUUUAAACGCCGGUGAGCAAGCUCCGGUGGCUUAACGGCCGCCAUGGAGAAGCCUGAAGGUGUGCGGAGGAUCCCCCCUGUUAAGUUCAGGGUCAAUGACGGGGGCUAGGACGGCUCGGUGGUGCGCU
rnacentral:other from 1 species